GAGGGAAAUUUGAACGUUCUCAACCUUAAGCCACGAAAAGCAAAGAUUAAACCUUAUAUCUUUUGCAUAAUGAUUUAGCUAGUCAAAUCAGACAAAAAGAAUUUAAGCCCAAAAUUAAGUGAGCUAUUGUAGAACAGUUGUCAGAAUGAACUAGUCUAUGUGGCAAAAUUGUGAGAUGAUUUUACAAUAGGAGUGAAAAGCCUACCGAAUUGAAAGAUAGCUGUUGUCCAAAAAACGAAUUUAAAUUCAACUUUAAAUUUAAUCCAAGUUCUAAUAAAGGCCACUUAAACGUAAAUGUUACUCAAAAGGGGGAUGACUCUUUUGACACAUAAACAAACUUCCUUAGAGGACAAUGAAACACACAUGAAAACAGUGUAGGCCUAAAAGCAGCCACCAAUUAAGAAAGUGUUAAAGCUCAAAUUUACCUAAUAUUUAAUCCCAACAAUUCAUCAAAAUCCCUACACCCAAUAUUGGACAGUUUUAUUAACAUUUAGAAGAUAUAAUGCUAAUUAUUAGUAAAAUGAAUUCAUUCUCCUUGCAUAUAUAAACUCAGCUCUGAAUAAUCACUAAUAAUUAACCAAACAAAUAGUCAUACCCCCACACUAGCAUUCUAUUACACACAUUAUUAACCCAACACAGCCAUAGAUUUAAGAAAAGAUUAAAAGAAAUAAAAGGAACUCAACAAACAAAAAACCCUUGCCUGUUUACCAAAAACAUCACCUCUAGCAAUUACCAAUAUUAGAGGCACUGUCUGCCUGGUGAGUUAUAACUUUUCACAGCUGUGGUAUCCUGACUGUGAAAAGGUAGCAUAAUCACUUGUCUUUUAAAUAGGGAGUAAUAUGAAUGGCAUAAUGAGAGUUUGACUAUCUCUUAUUCCCAAUCAAUAAAAUUGACCUUCCCGUGCAGAGGCGGGAAUACUAAUACAAGAUGAGAAGGCCCAUGGAGCUUAAGACACAUAACUCAUCACAUACUCUUAUUAAACUUACUGGAACUAACUAUAUAAACCAUUGAGUUAUAGUUUUUUUGUUGGGAUGACCUCAGAGCAUAAAACAACCUCUGAAUGAAAUAACCUAGAUUCACCAAUCUAAGUGUAUUAAUGCCAGUAAUUAACCCAUUUCUUGAUCAACAGAACAAGUUACCCCAGGGAUAACAGCCCAAUCCUAUUUGAGAGCCCAUAUCGAAAAUUAGGGUUUAAGACCUCGAUGUUGGAUCAGGACAUCCAAAUGGUGCUACUGCUAUUAAUGGUCUGUUUGUUUAACAAUUAAAGUACUAUGUGAUCUGAGUUCAGACCAGAGAAAUCCAGGUCAGUUUCUAUCUGUAAAUUCAUUUCUCCCAA
rnacentral:rRNA from 1 species